rnacentral:rRNA from 1 species
AGUGAAGCAGGCAACAGCUCAAAUUUGAAAUCUGGCCCUAGGCCCGAGUUGUAAUUUGCAGAGGAUGCUUCUGGCGCGGUGCCUUCCAAGUCCCCUGGAACGGGGCGCCAUAGAGGGUGAGAGCCCCGUCUGGUUGGCCGCCAAGCCUGUGUGAAGCUCCUUCGACGAGUCGAGUAGUUUGGGAAUGCUGCUCUAAAUGGGAGGUAGACCCCUUCUAAAGCUAAAUACCGGCCAGAGACCGAUAGCGCACAAGUAGAGUGAUCGAAAGAUGAAAAGCACUUUGAAAAGAGGGUUAAACAGUACGUGAAAUUGUUGAAAGGGAAGCGCUUGUGACCAGACGUGCGUCGGGGUGUUCAGCGGGCGUUCUCGCCCGUGCACUCGCCCCGGCGCAGGCCAGCGUCGGUUCGGGUGGGGGGACAAAGGCGUUGGGAACGUAGCUCCUCCGGGAGUGUUAUAUCCCAGCGUGUCAUGCCCCCGCCUGGACCGAGGUUCGCGCUCCGCAAGGACGCUGGCGUAAUGGUCCCCAGCGGCCCGUCUUGAAACACGGACCAAGGAGUCGAGGUUUUGCGCGAGUGUUUGGGUGUCAAACCCGCACGCGUAAUGAAAGUGAACGCAGGUGGGAGCUUCGGCGCACCACCGACCGAUCCUGAUGUUCUCGGAUGGAUUUGAGUAAGAGCGUAGGGCCUCGGACCCGAAAGAUGGUGAACUAUACGUGAAUAGGGUGAAGCCAGAGGAAACUCUGGUGGAGGCUCGCAGCGGUUCUGACGUGCAAAUCGAUCGUCAAAUUUGCGUAUGGGGGCGAAAGACUAAUCGAACCAU